AAUCAACGCUGGCGGCGCGCUUAACACAUGCAAGUCGAACGAGAAAGGGGAGCAAUCCCUGAGUAAAGUGGCGUACGGGUGAGUAACACGUGGAUGAUCUACCUCUUGAUGGGGGGAUACCUCUGGGAAACCGGAGACAAUACCGCAUAAGCUCGGGAGAGGAAAGCCGAAAGGCGUCGAGAGAGGAGUCCGCGGCCGAUUAGCUAGUUGGUAGGGUAAAAGCCUACCAAGGCAAAGAUCGGAGCCGGCCUGAGAGGGCACACGGCCACACUGGCACUGAAACACGGGCCAGACUCCUACGGGAGGCAGCAGUGGGGAAUCUUGCACAAUGGGGGCAACCCUGAUGCAGCGACGCCGCGUGAGCGAUGAAGCCCUUCGGGUGUAAAGCUCUUUCGAC
rnacentral:rRNA from 1 species